rnacentral:rRNA from 1 species
UACGGGGGGGGGCAAGCGUUGUUCGGAAUUACUGGGCGUAAAGGGUUUGUAGGUGGCCCGCUAAGUCACACGUGAAAUCCCUCAGCUUAACUGGGGAACUGCGUGUGAGACUGGCAGGCUCGAGGGCAGGAGAGGAACGCGGAAUUCCAGGUGUAGCGGUGAAAUGCGUAGAUAUCGUAAGGAAGGCCGGUGGCGAAAGCGAGCCUCUGGACAGUUACUGACGCUGAUGCACGAAGGCCAGGGGAGCAAACGGG